GUUUACUGCUGUCUCAAACCCGCCUGAGAUGCGGAGCUGUUGUUAUCCUGUAUUAUGAACCUUAAUAGCCGCGGUACGCUGGAGCAGCGGAAGAAGCCGUGAUUCUCUACACAUUUCUUCCAGAAGUUUUUGCAUUCGUUGCGCCCUUCAAAGAAGAAUUCCACUACGUCUCUGAAGUAGCCCUGGGAGAGAAAUAUGAAUUGAACAAGUUCCGCGGAUUUUGAGCCGCGUGCAUAUCUAUUAAUAUUAUCUGUGGUGAUAUCGCUGACAGUUGCAGAUAAUCCAGGAUAUAGACAAUACUACCACGCAGUGAAACUUUUAUCGUCAACAAAGAAAAAAUCUUUCAUGUUUAGACAAUUCAAGUGCUUUAUAGUUAAAGAUCGGAAUAUGUUUACCUAAACUUCAAGAA